rnacentral:rRNA from 1 species
GUCUACAGCCUUACCACCCUGAACACGUCCAAACUCAUCUGAUCUUGGAAGCUGAGUGGGGUCUGGCCUGGUUAGUACUUGGAUAGGAAAACUGACUGGGAAUAUUUGGUGCUGUAGGCU